GUAUCAGAAGUGCGAAUGCUGACAUAAGUAACGAUAAAGCGGGUGAAAAGCCCGCUCGCCGGAAGACCAAGGGUUCCUGUCCAACGUUAAUCGGGGCAGGGGGAGUCGACCCCUAAGGCGAGGCCGAAAGGCGUAGUCGAUGGGAAACAGGUUAAUAUUCCUGUACUUGGUGUUACUGCGAAGGGGGGACGGAGAAGGCUAUGUUGGCCGGGCGACGGUUGUCCCGGUUUAAGCGUGUAGGCUGGUUUUCCAGGCAAAUCCGGAAAAUCAAGGCUGAGGCGUGAUGACGAGGCACUACGGUGCUGAAGCAACAAAUGCCCUGCU
rnacentral:rRNA from 1 species